rnacentral:rRNA from 1 species
UAAGACGUAGGGCGCGAGCGUUGUCCGGAUUUAUUGGGCGUAAAGAGCUCGUAGGCGGCUUGUCGCGUCGUCCGUGAAAACCUGCGGCUCAACUGCAGGCUGGCGGUCGAUACGGGCAGGCUGGAGUUCGGUAGGGGAGACUGGAAUUCCUGGUGUAGCGGUGAAAUGCGCAGAUAUCAGGAGGAACACCGGUGGCGAAGGCGGGUCUCUGGGCCGAUACUGACGCUGAGGAGCGAAAGCGUGGGGAGCGAACAGGAUUAGAUACCCUGGUAGUCCACGCUGUAAACGUUGGGCGCUAGGUGUGGGGUGCCUCUCCGGUGUCCUGUGCCGUAGCUAACGCAUUAAGCGCCCCGCCUGGGGAGUACGGCCGCAAGGCUA